GAGAAGGCCGAGAGCGAGGUGCAGGCCAUGCGGCGCCAGGCCCAGGGCCUGACCCGCGAGUACGACCGGCUGCUGGAGGAGCACGCCAGGCUGCAGGCCGCCCACGACGGACCCCGGGACAAGAAGGAGGAGUGAGGGGCGGGGCCACGCCAGGACACGCCCAUCAUCGCUACAAACCACGCCCACAACGGUUAUAAACUCCACCCCUGGGACCAGGCCACGCCCUCCAAAAGCCCCUCCCGGACCAAGCCCCGCCCCCCCCCAUUUUUGGGGGGCGUUCUGGCGUCAUUUUUGGGACCGUCCCAGCUUUUUUUUGGGGUCCAAAUCUCAUUUUGGGGGGGUCCAGGCCUCGUUUUGGGGAGGCUGAACCCCCCCCUUUGUCCCCCCCCCUUCUUCCCGGGGGGGUUUUUGGGGGGCAGUGGGGACCCCCUCCCCUUUUUUGUGCUUCAAUAAAAUCACCUCGGGUUGGGUCUUG